UACGUAGGGUGCGAGCGUUGUCCGGAAUUAUUGGGCGUAAAGAGCUUGUAGGCGGUUUGUCGCGUCUGCUGUGAAAAUCCGGGGCUCAACCCCGGACUUGCAGUGGGUACGGGCAGGCUAGAGUGCGGUAGGGGAGAUUGGAAUUCCUGGUGUAGCGGUGGAAUGCGCAGAUAUCAGGAGGAACACCGAUGGCGAAGGCAGAUCUCUGGGCCGUAACUGACGCUGAGGAGCGAAAGCGUGGGGAGCGAACAGG
rnacentral:rRNA from 1 species